rnacentral:rRNA from 1 species
CCUACGGGUGGCUGCAGUGGGGAAUAUUGCACAAUGGGGGAAACCCUGAUGCAGCAACGCCGCGUGAGUGAAGAAGGAUUUCGGUAUGUAAAGCUCUAUCAGCAGGGAAGAAGAUGACGGUACCUGACCAAGAAGCACUGGCUAACUACGUGCCAGCAGCCGCGGUAAUACGUAGGGGGAAAGCGUUAUCCGGAUUUACUGGGCGUAAAGGGAGCGCAGACGGCCGUGCAAGUCAGGAGUGAAAGCCCCGGGCCUAACCCCGGAACUGCACUGGAAACUGUUCGGCUAGAGUACUGGAGGGGCGGGUGGAAUUCCUAGUGUAGCGGUGAAAUGCGUAGAUAUUAGGAGGAACACCAGUGGCGAAGGCGGUCUGCUGGACAGCAACUGACGGUGAGGCGCGAAAGCGUGGGGAGCAAACAGGAUUAGAUACCCUAGUAGUC